rnacentral:lncRNA from 1 species
GGAGUUCCGCCAGAUUCUUUGAAACCGAAUCAAUGAAAUCAAUAACUAGUUCUGGUUCUCUCAGCCAGUAACAGCCCAGCAGAAAGUUGAUGCACGAUUCCUUGAUAUCUGUCUCGAAAAACAACUUUAUUGCUUCCCGGAAUAUGGUGAGCUCACUUUUGAUUCGAGUCAAACCAGGUAAACGAGAAUGAAUCAAGUAUUCGCUGCAAGCAAAUACAAGAUCUGGCAUUCUUCUUUUAAUCAGAUUUUGAAUUCUGAAAGAAGUAACAUCCUUCUCCUCCACGUCUUGUUCCAAACAGGUUUCAUGGUUCCUCCUCCUCCUACACAUUCUCAG